GAUUGAACGCUGGCGGCAGGCCUAACACAUGCAAGUCGAACGGUAACAGGAAGCAGCUUGCUGCUUUGCUGACGAGUGGCGGACGGGUGAGUAAUGUCUGGGAAACUGCCUGAUGGAGGGGGAUAACUACUGGAAACGGUGGCUAAUACCGCAUAACGUCGCAAGACCAAAGAGGGGGACCUUCGGGCCUCUUGCCAUCAGAUGUGCCCAGAUGGGAUUAGCUUGUUGGUGAGGUAACGGCUCACCAAGGCGACGAUCCCUAGCUGGUCUGAGAGGAUGACCAGCCACACUGGAACUGAGACACGGUCCAGACUCCUACGGGAGGCAGCAGUGGGGAAUAUUGCACAAUGGGCGCAAGCCUGAUGCAGCCAUGCCGCGUGUAUGAAGAAGGCCUUCGGGUUGUAAAGUACUUUCAGCGGGGAGGAAGGUGUUGUGGUUAAUAACCGCAGCAAUUGACGUUACCCGCAGAAGAAGCACCGGCU
rnacentral:rRNA from 1 species